GGUGAGUGUGCUGUGUACAUCUGAAGAAGAUAAAGCACCCGAGGGACCCGUCUGCCGGCGUGUAAUCUGCACAUUCUAGCCUGAAACCUUUCACUCAAUAUAAUGGAUGAUUUCAUCUGACCUGCAUAGGUUCUAGCUGCAUCUUCAACUUGUCCUCAGGUAACAUGCAGAAAUGGGGGAGUUACUGUACAUUACUGUACAUUCAGAAUGGAAAGGUUCGCCAAAUAUUUAAAUGUUAAAGAAUGCCAGAAAAUGGGGCUUUUAACAGAGAAGCGAAAAUAACAUUAAAUGGCAC